UGUCAUGGUUAUGAAUUGAUUGAAGAAAGUGCAGAGCUUUGAAGAUGGAAAGACCUGUAAGGACUAAUCCAAGGAUCCAGUUUCAUGAUCAGCUGGCUGUAACUCAUACUUUGGUUUGGUCUUGUGAGCUCUUCUCCAGCAUAAGAACUGAAUGGUGAUGAUACUGAACCCAGGUUUCCUCUUUCCACAACAUCCCUCUGCAAUGUACCAAUACAUAUAAACAAAAAAUCACAGAUGUAAUGAUCCCCUAACAGGCCAACACAUUCUGAAAAUGUACCAACCCGUGCCAUGAAUGGACAGCCAUGAUAUGGAGAUGAGCAGUUACUGCCAGUGAGAUAGUUCUGGUUGAGAGAGGACAAAACAGAGAUGAAAUUCAACAAGUAACUAGAUCAUUGCCUGUUCUUUGGCCGGAUAAGUUAAGAUAUAUAUGAUCUGUAGCUGCACGUAACAUUUUUUAGAUUUAAACCUUUCUGUGGAGAACCCGCUGCAGUUCGCGAUUGAGGUUUUUCUCACACCAUAACAGUUGA
rnacentral:lncRNA from 1 species